UACGGAGGGUGCAAGCGUUAUCCGGAUUUACUGGGUUUAAAGGGUGCGUAGGUGGGCAGGUAAGUCAGUGGUGAAAUCUUCAAGCUUAACUUGGAAACUGCCAUUGAUACUAUUUGUCUUGAAUAUCCUGGAGGUAAGCGGAAUAUGUCAUGUAGCGGUGAAAUGCUUAGAUAUGACAUAGAACACCCAUUGCGAAGGCAGCUUACUACGGGAUUAAUGACACUGAGGCACGAAGGCGUGGGGAUCAAACAGG
rnacentral:rRNA from 1 species